rnacentral:rRNA from 1 species
GAUGAACGCUGGCGGCGUGCUUAACACAUGCAAGUCGAACGGAAAGGCUCCUGCUUGCAGGGGUACUCGAGUGGCGAACGGGUGAGUAACACGUGGGAGAUCUGCCCUGCACUUCGGGAUAAGCCUGGGAAACUGGGUCUAAUACCGGAUAGGACGAUGGUUUGGAUGCCAUUGUGGAAAGUUUUUCGGUGUGGGAUGAGCUCGCGGCCUAUCAGCUUGUUGGUGGGGUAAUGGCCUACCAAGGCGUCGACGGGUAGCCGGCCUGAGAGGGUGUACGGCCACAUUGGGACUGAGAUACGGCCCAGACUCCUACGGGAGGCAGCAGUGGGGAAUAUUGCACAAUGGGCGCAAGCCUGAUGCAGCGACGCCGCGUGGGGGAUGACGGCCUUCGGGUUGUAAACUCCUUUCGCUAGGGACGAAGCGCAAGUGACGGUACCUGGAGAAGAAGCACCGGCUAACUACGUG